CUGAUGUGGUGGGGUUGUGAGGAACUUCACGCUGGCUUGUGUUGGACGAUUUCGCCCACACAACGAAGGCUUGAACGAGUGAAAGCGUCAGCGUGGUGAUCUGUUUCAUUUCUGUGCCAGCUAACGCGGCAACACAGAGUGAUUUUCCUCUUUGUAGGAGGAGAAGUUAGUACUCCUUUUCCAGGUUCUUUUGAGGAAAUCGAGUAGUCUACGGUGUACCUGGAACAAGAGAAUGCGCCUCCAGUGAAGAAUAAACUCCUUAGCCUUUGGGGGAAGCCAGCCCAGUUCCUUGGUUUACCGACGGACCGCUAGACCUUGCUUCCUCUUGGAGAUUCCCUUCCUGCAUGGCCCACUACUUCCUCAAGUUUCUUGAGGAAGUUUGGUGACAUGGGAGUUGGGAAGCUCAAACCAUGGGGAGCAAGACGAGGUGAUAGCCUCGUCUUGCAACACUGGGAAGUAAUCUUGGUCAUAGCGGGCCAAGGUGAAGCAAAGAACUGAAGGAUUGCUUGCUCGUCACCUGGGAGGAGGCUCUCCUCCUGGCAAG
rnacentral:rRNA from 1 species